UAGGGAAUCUUCCGCAAUGGGCGAAAGCCUGACGGAGCAACGCCGCGUGAGUGAUGAAGGUCUUCGGCUCGUAAAACUCUGUUAUUAGGGAAGAACAAAUGUGUAAGUAACUAUGCACGUCUUGACGGUACCUAAUCAGAAAGCCACGGCUAACUACGUGCCAGCAGCCGCGGUAAUACGUAGGUGGCAAGCGUUAUCCGGAAUUAUUGGGCGUAAAGCGCGCGUAGGCGGUUUUUUAAGUCUGAUGUGAAAGCCCACGGCUCAACCGUGGAGGGGCAAUGGAAACUGGAAAACUGGAGUGCAGAAGAGGAAAGUGGAAUUCCAUGUGUAGCGGUGAAAUGCGCAGAGAUAUGGAGGAGCACCAGUGGCGAAGGCGAGUUUCUGGUAUGUAACUGACGCUGAUGUGCGAAAGCGUGGGGAUCAAACAGG
rnacentral:rRNA from 1 species